ensembl:lncRNA
ACUCAAAACGGCUGGAGGCCGCUUCCGUUUCCAGAAGAGUUUAAUCUAACGGCCGGAUCCCCGGGUACAUCGAGAACCCGAAUAUCCCCGAGGAAACAAAAAAAAAAAAAAAAGGGGGGAGGAAGGGGUGGAAAAAAAAAUAAAAAUUACAGUUAAAAGGCAAAUUUCCCUCCGAGCUCUGCUCCGAGCUCGGGCCUUCAAAUAAAAACGAACGCUCUUUAUUCCUACCCAAAACUAGAGUUAAAAAAGUCAAGGAUCGGGGCAAAAGGGGGGGAAAAAGGGCUACGCAGCUAGACAUAAAAAGCAACGGUGAGCGGGGCUGCGCGGGGAGGGAGAAAGAGGGCCGAGCGCUCCCGCUCCGGGCCGGGAAAGCAGCCGGCGAAGCCGUUUCCCGGCUCUUCCCGCCCUUCCCAGCCCCGGGAAGCGGAUGCCGCUUGCCGGGCGCGAACCCGCGCCUCGUUUUUCUUUUUUUUUUAUUAUUUAAACAAAAAAAACCGCGCGGGGAGGGAACCGCCGGCGGCUUUUUUUUUUUUUUAUGGGAAAAAGGGAGACGGGGCGCAACAUGCAACCCGGAAAACAACGGGCUCCGCCGCCUCCGGGAGCUACAAAUUCAUCGCCGCCUCCGGCAAAGCCGAAUCUACGCCAACGCUUAGGGCAGCACUCGCCUGGCGGAGCCGGCGUGGCCUCUCCUUUCCCGCUGAGCGGAAAGAAAAAUAAUCCCCCCCUCCCUUUUCCCGAAAUCCCGCGGCUCAUCCCGUGCUGCCCAAAAGUCUUUGGAUUAAACCGGUGCCGACGGGAGAAGGAGGCGCCUCCGUUCCGGCGCCAAUCCGAGCUCCGGCAGCCACGGAGGAUUCGGCUUGAUCCGUGUAGUGCUUGUGGCUUGGAGGGGGGCUUCCCCGGUCUCCCCCCGGUCGCUGGCGGAGCCGGGACGAGGAGGGGGGAAAAAGCCGUGGCGAGGAGAUUCUCCAGAGCUGCUCCGAUCCAAAAAGCAGCGAUUCCCUCGCGAUUCCCGGCUCGGAGCGAGGAGGAGGAGGAGGAGGAGGAAAGGGGAAAGGGAGGGAAAAAACAAAAAAAGCGGCACCCCGCGCUCCUCGGGCGGCUCCGUCGGCCGCCUCCGCGUGCUUCCGACGUUUUACUGCGCCUCGGCCACGGCGGGCGCCUCGGGGGCCGGCGGCUCGGCCCGCAGCGGGUCCGCUUUGGCGAAAUUCAUGUCGAGGAUGUGGCGCUGCAGGUGCCGCACCCAUUCCUCCUGGAUGGAGAGGGGGCCCUGGAAUUCCACCUCGCAGAACCUGCGGCCGGGAGCGAGGAGGGGGGAAAAAACGGGAUGACGAUGAUGACGAUGGGGAGGACGUCGGCGCCGCCGCAACGGCGCCCGCAAGCCCCCCCGAGCGAAGAGGCGGCCAGCGGCUCGGCAAGCUUUGGGCCGGCGGCUCCGUAGGGAGGGCGAAGCCGGAAAAAAAAGAAAAGAGCGGCAUGCGGGCGCCGGCGCCGACCUACCUGCACUUGAGGGUGUAGAUGUUGCCCACGAACUUCACCAGCGAGGUCUGCGGCGGGCGAGGGACCAGCGAGGGCACCGGGCGGACGCGGGGCGGCAGCGGCGGCGGCGCCUGCCGCGGCUCCUCCAGCUUCCGCUGCAGGUCGGCCGCGUCGGCGUCCCGGCGCAGCGAGGUGUCCAGGGGCCGCGCUUGCCGCCGCUCGAACUCUGAUGGGGCGGAGAGAGGGGAAGGUUUGAGGGUGCGGUUGGGGGGGAUGGGACAAGAACCCCCUGGAGAAAAGAAG